rnacentral:tRNA from 1 species
GUCUCGGUGGCGUAGUGGUCAACGCGCUCGGACUGGUGAUCAGGAGGGCGUGAGUUCGAUCCCAGCCGAGGUA